AAAUGUCCAACUUUUCAGCGUCUCUCUCUCUCUCUCAAGAGCUCGGCAUGCUUGCUUUAACUCCAUCAACAACAUCUUUGGUGUGCGGCGGCGGCGGCGGCGGCGGAGGCGGAGGCGUCGGUUAAGGUACCACCGUCACCAAUCCUCCGAGUUACAUAUUCAAAAUGAUGAUAAAGCAACUUCUUAAACUGCACCCUAGCUGUAACUUCCCCUCCCAUGGCUUCUGGGUUUACUCAAGGCACUUCUCUUCACUCCCAUCUAUCACUUCUACCUCUGAUAUCGAAACCCAAUUGAGGUUUCACUGUGAGAAGUCCGACCCUCAGGUUUCCGAGGCGGUUUCGGGUUUCCUCCGCGCCGUCGAUACGAACCGCUUGCCUUCUGGGGCAGCCUGUAAUUUGCUCGUGCACACUCUCACAAAGUCGAAAAAUUAUGAAUUGGCGUUUUCUGUUUAUAGUAAGAUGACCAAUGUUGGUCUUCGUCCGAGUUUUAUAUCAUUGAGUUGUUUAGUAGCUUGUUUUGUUAACUCCCAUCACCCUGAAUUCGCAGCCGGGGUGUUGGGAUUGUUGUUAAAGCGUGGAUUUCAGUUAAAUGCGUUUGUUCUGAAUCUUACAUUGAAGGGUUUGUGCGCUAACGAUGAGAUUGACAAGGCGAUUGAGUUGUUUCGUGUAACGGGAAGAAAUUAUGUAAUCCCGGAUAUUGUUAGUUACAACAUUCUUAUAAACGGAUUGUGCAGGGUGAAAAAUUUGAAAGAAGCAACUGAGUUGCUGGUUGAUAUGGAGUUGUCUGGUUCUGAGCCGAAUGUGACGACAUACAGCACUUUGAUCAAUGGAUUCUGCAAGGAUGGUCGAGUGGAUGAGGCGAUGGGUUUGUUGGAGGAAUUGAAGCAAAAGGGUUUGGAAGCGGAUGUUGUAGUGUACAGUACCAUUAUAAGUGCUUUUUGUGAUAAAGGGGGUUUCGAUAGAGCCAAAGAAAUUUUUGAUGAGAUGUUAAAGAAGGGUAUUCCUCCGAAUGUGGUUACAUAUAGUUGUUUCAUAAAUAAUCUCUCCAAGAUAGGGAAAUGGAAAGAAGCCACCGCGAUGUUAAAUGAUAUGAUAGAGUGUGGAGUUCUCCCUGAUGUUAUUACUUAUACAGGCUUAAUUGACGGGCUUUUCAAAAGUGGAAGGGCUACAAAAGCCAUGGAGCUAUUCAGUCUAAUACUAUCGAGGGGUGAAGAGCCUAACACUGUAACAUACAAUGUUAUGAUUGAUGGACUGUGCAAGCAAGGCUUGGUGGAUGAGGCUUUUAAGAUUUUUGAAAUGAUGAAGGGUAAGGGUAAACAGCCUGAUGUAAUUACAUACAACGUGUUACUGAUGGGGCUUUCAUGUCGCGGGAAGGUAGAUGAGGCAAUGGAACUUUUCAGUAUGAUAUCAAAAGAUGAGAACUUUCUUGAGCCAGAUGUUAUCACAUAUAACAUGCUAAUUAUUGGACUCUGCAAGGAAGGCAAUCUCGAUAAAGCUAGGGAUAUUUAUAAUACUAUGGUUGAAAGGGGCAUUGCAGGUAACUUAGUUACUUAUAAUGCUUUGAUAGGUGCAUGUCUAGAGGAAGGAUUUGUGGGUGAGGCCAUCAAAUUCUGGAGACGUGCACUUGACUUGGGAUUGGUUCCGAAUGAAAUUACUUACGGUGUCUUGAUCAGUGGAUUUUGUAAGACUCAUCUGCUUAGGUUUGCAAAAGGACUCUUUAGUCAAAUGAGAGCUUCUGGGGUUAGUCCUACUUUGAUUGACUACAACAUUUUGAUGCUAUCCUUGUGCAAGGAGAGUAGUGUGGAGCAAGCUAGGAUGCUAUUUGAGGAGAUGAGGCGUUCAAAUUGUGUGCCAAAUCUAGUCUCAUUUAAUACAAUAAUUGAUGGAACUCUAAAAGCAGGAGAUGUUGAAUCUGCUAAGGGCUUGCUGCAGGACAUGUGUAAAAUGGAUUUAACUCCUGAUGCCUUUACCUUUUCCAUAUUAGUAAGCCGGUUCUCGAAACUUGGGCUUUUGGAUGAGGCUAAAAUGGUUCUCAAGAAGAUGAUUGAUUGUGGUGUUGAACCUGAUGCCUUUGUUUUCGAUUCUUUACUAAAGGGCUAUUGUUUAAAGGGUGAAACAGAAGAAAUCAUUAAUUUGCUUCAUCAGAUGGCAGACAAGGGUGUCGUUCUCGACUCAGAAAUAACUUCUACCAUCUUGGAAUGCCUAUGUGAAAUCUCAGACGAUGUUGAUGUGAUGAAGAUUCUCCCAACUUUUUCCCAAGAAACAUCAAAAGGAGCAAGCAUUACCUGCAAUGAGCUGUUGGUGAAACUCAGUAACUCUCAUCCAGAACUUAAAUUGUCCCAAGAGAGACAUCCAGUGCCCGGAUAAAUCUGCUGCUUGUUCUAUCUUAUGAUUAGUUAGCUGGGAAACUAGAAUUGGGAAAUCCCGAGCAGAUCUGCCACAUCUUACAAGUAGUUUUAACCGUGUAGCAUGGAAUUCAUUGGUAAAACUGAAGCUGCAAGGUGUGAUGAGAUUCUGAUAACGGUGUUAUCUGGGACUCAAGCCAUUGCUGGAGAUCUCGAUGGAGUCAUCUUCCUUGUCCCUUCACGUUACAGAAGUUGUGAAAUUUGUUUGAGGAAGCUCAUGCAGGUUGCGCAAUCCAGAAUUUUGUUACGAAGUAAAUACUAAGCAUCCAGAGCGCCGGAACUCUUUGUGGUUAUAUGUUUUGGCUUAUAAAAUCCUGACUUCUAUGAUCAAGGUAGUUUUGGGCUCGAUCUUCGGCCAUGGUCUCUGUAGAAUCGAGGGUGUCUUCCUUCUCCAGGUUGUUGCUGGAUUGGAAAACUGCACCGAGUUGAUUGUUGUUACGAUUUUUUGUUUUCAUUUAUUUUAGGUGUAAUUAGGCAUA